rnacentral:rRNA from 1 species
GAACGCUGGCGGCGUGCCUAAUACAUGCAAGUCGAACGGUCUUUCUAUGGAAGCUUGCUUCCACUGAGAAGAUAGUGGCGAACGGGUGAGUAACACGUGGGUAACCUGCCCAUAAGAGGGGGAUAACAUCCGGAAACGGGUGCUAAUACCGCAUAGUUUUCUUGAUCGCAUGAUUGAGAAAGGAAAGACGGCCUUUGUGCUGUCGCUUAUGGAUGGACCCGCGGCGUAUUAGUUAGUUGGUGAGGUAACGGCUCACCAAGACGAUGAUACGUAGCCGACCUGAGAGGGUGAUCGGCCACAUUGGGACUGAGACACGGCCCAAACUCCUACGGGAGGCAGCAGUAGGGAAUCUUCCGCAAUGGACGAAAGUCUGACGGAGCAACGCCGCGUGAGUGAAGAAAGGUUUUCGGAUCGUAAAACUCUGUUGUCAGAGAAGAACAAGUUGGAGAGUAACUGCUCCAGCCUUGACGGUAUCUGACCAGAAAGCCACGGCUAACUACGUGCCAGCAGCCGC